UAAAUGUUAGGUUAAACGGUUAGGUUUAGGUUUAAAAUCACAAUUUAAGAUACAUUGUAGAAAUAGGCCGGAUUGAUGACUUUAUGGUUGUGGUAACUAGUGACGACUGUUCACCCUAGUGCACUUGUUCGAUCGUGAGCUGGCUGCUCAUUCUAAAUAGUGCAAUCUAAUCUGUUCAAAACAGUUGCAGCAAGUGCACCAGUGGUCAUGGGUUUUCGUCAUGCAAAGCCUGAGGCCUCUCAUUAAACCUGGCUCAUCCGAAUUGGACCUGCUGCUGAGGAGAUGAUGGGUGCAGUAGGCGAGGAAACAGCGACACCCUCUGGGCAACUGGUGUAAAUACACUGUACCAGGCGUUACUACAAUGUCUUCUAAAGACAAACCCAUUGCAUACGUAGUUACAUACACUCCUAUUUUUGCUAUUUUUGUACUGCACGGUGAACAGAACAUAGCUAAAUAGAACUGCAGUGAAUUUUCUCCAAGCCUGAAAUACUUUAGCAUGCAACUUCCCUUACCAUACCUAUUUUGGAACCAAUUAGAAGUUGAAAUGCAUACAUAAGUUAUUCCAAAUGCCUCAUAUUAGAGUAACUACCAUUAUAAUUUAGUUCACUCAAUGUGUCCAUUUCUCUAUCCAACCUUUCCAAG
ensembl:lncRNA